rnacentral:lncRNA from 9 species
GCCACAUCUCCAGCACAGAUGGCUUUAGAGAAAGGAAGGAAAGCAGCGACAAGUGGAUGAGCAUCUUGCCAAAACUGUGAUUCCUGUUUAUGUUACAAUGCAGAGCAAACCCGCGGGAUCCUGCAAGAGGCAUCAGCUGCAGAGGAAAACGCAAGGGUUGGAACUCAGCCUGAACCUAACAGUUGUCCUUGAGACUGAGGAUCAAGAACAAAGUCUUCAAUUAUUUAACAGCAACAAAAAUCCAAAAGGCUCCGAGACCACAAGCAUCCAAAGGGAACAAAUGAAUGGAGGAUUGUCCUGUGGGCAACCAGCAGGGCUUUAGCAUAAAAGGCCACUUGUCUUGCCCGUUCAUGACCAGCUGACUCCACUGUGCACUCUGAGCAUCAGAAGCUCUUGAACCUGCCUGCUCCAGUCUUCAGUAGGCUCAGCAGUGAACUCAAACCAAUUAAAUGUUCAAAGACACCCUGGGGACCAGUCUGCCUGAGCCCAGUGCACAUCACCUCUUUGCUGUAUAUACCAUUAAACUCAGAUUUGCCCACAAGUUUAUAAACAUUUUGCAGGUUGUCAACAAAGAAAAUGAUGGGCAAUCUCAGCAAAUUCAAACCGAGUUUAUUCUUUUUUUUCCUGCAGAUCUCAGAUUUUAGCUUCCUGACAAAGUAGAUAUUCAGGAAGAUUUAGAUGUAUUAUGGGGUUUUGGGAAAAGGUCAUUUUUUAUUAUAGUAAAAUACAUAGAGCAAAAUUUGGCAUUUUUGGCAUUUUUAGAGUGUAAAAUUCAGAUGCAUUUAGUCCAGUCACAAUUGCAUACAUCCAUGUACUAACUACUUUCAGAAUCAAUUUUGAAAAAAGAUUGCUACAAUUCCAAUAAUCUUCUACCCCCUAUUAUAUAUUUAUGAAAAUUAAAUUUUUUCUCAUUUUGUUGUGUUUAACAAGGAUACAUUUCAAUUACCUAUUUCUUUUUGUUUGUUUGUUUGUUUUUUGUUUUUUUAGGGCUGCACUGAAGCAUAUAGAAGUUCCCAGGCUAGGGGUCGAAUCAGAGCUGUAGCCACUGGCCUAUGCCAUAGCCACAGCAAUACCAGAUCCGAGCUGCACAUCUGCAGCCUACACCAGAGCUCACAGUAACACCAAAUCCUUAACCCACUGAGCGGGGCCAGGGAUCAAACCCGGAUCCUCAUGGAUACUAGUUAGGUUCUUAACCCAUUGAGCCACAACAGGAACUCCUGAGUUACCUAAAUUUGAAGAUCUUCUCAUGCCAUUUAUGCACUAAAUAUGAAAGGUGAAUGUAGGGAAAUAUUUGCAAAUAUCUUCAAACUAAGUUUGCAAAAGACUAUUUUUCCUUUCACGAAUAGUCCACAUUAUUUCUUUAUUAUUACAUAUACACAUUGUUUUUCCCAUAUAUAGCCUUUUUACUAAGCCAGAAAAAAUCUAAGCAAGUGCAAUACAAAGAGAAGAGGAAAGUCAUUAAUUAUAUAUGUGUUAUUCUUCAUAAAUUCAAAGCAAAUGUCCUGCUUAUUUUAAUGUUUAAAAAACAUUAUACAACAAUGAAUAUCCUUAACUCUGUGGUGAGACAAAUACUUUGCUCCUUUCAUGUAUCCUUAAAUAUAUUUCUAUUUAUAAAAUAAACACAUUUACACACAUACAUUUUUAAAGCUUUCUGACUUAUUAGGAAGCUAGUACUUGAAGGCAAAAGGCCAAAGUAUUAGCACCAAAAGAUUGUUGUCAGGAAAAUUUGGGGUUGUUGUCUUAAUACUAUAGGACAUGAUUAUGGCUUUUUGUGACCACUUGUUGGGGGUUGAUAAAGCUGUGAUUAAGUUCUCAUUCUUUUUUUUAUCGGUCAUAGAUUUUCAUUAUUCUUAUCUUUUCAUAGCCACCUUCCCCGACUAGAGAAACCUUCACUCUAAUUUUGGGUCUGAGGCACAUCUACUUACAAAAAGCACCAUCCACAGGAAGAAAUGAUUCAAUUCAGUCAGACAGGCUCCCACUUUUCAUUUGGCACAAAAAGCAUCAGGCAGAGUUUGUUGUAUCUGGGCAAUUUUUUUUCUUUUUUUGUCAGUUAUAACAUAACAGUAAACUUUGCCUUCGGCUUUUCUCAGAAUUUGUGUGUUACUUCUCCCUACUUGCAUUACCCACUGAAAACUAAUUAUAGCAAAUGCUACAUUUAGAUAAUUAUUUUGGUUAAGAGUGAAUAAAUUAUGAAAAAGUUGGGACAAGAUAAAUUUCAAGCACUGGAUUUCCACAAGAUCAAACUGAAUGUUUAAGCCAGCCCAGUUUGUCACUUAAUAGUAAACAAUCCAUUUGUUUGCACUGUCCGACAUUUUUAAAUUUCAAUGAUCUGUUACUUUCUUCUUAAACAUUGGGGGACCUUCCUUCCCAAAUACACGCAAGUAUUUGGGAAAUCAUGACUUGGGACAAACAAGUAAAGAAGUUGGAAGACAUGGAGCCUUGAGUUGAAAAUAUCUAAAUCAGAAGGAAAUUCAAAAGGGGGCUCCCUGUGAUUGGUCCAGAGGGCAGGUAUCUGACCCUGGGUGGGGGAGGAUUGGGGUCACAGAAAGGCAGUGUCAGCCUCACAAAUGGAAGACUGCUCUAGAAGUCAGAGUUGUUCAACAAUGGGAUGGGUCUGAGCUGGUUUGUCUCUCAAAAUGCACAGGGAAAUACAGAUGGGAAUGUCAUAAAAGCAUCCCAGGUCAAUUAGUUGUUGUCCUAACACCAUUCUGACCUUCUUUGUCUUAAUUCGCCAGGGAGCUAAGGGGACAGUUUGACCAUCAGGUUUAUUGCUGGACAGGAAAGAAAGAUGGCCUCAGAGAGGAUAUGGGUUCAUGAUCUUUUUCUUUCCAUCUGUGGGGUAAAUUGUUUCCAAAGAUGGUCAUACUGAUCUGUCCCAUCCUAUAUGUGCCUUUGCAAUGUGAUUGUACCAACAAAGAAAUAUAAUUUCUUUCCUUUGAAUUGGGACUGGCCCUGUGACUUUCUUUGACCAGUGGGA